rnacentral:rRNA from 1 species
GGACUACAGGGGUAUCUAAUCCUGUUUGCUCCCCACGCUUUCGCGUCUCAGCGUCAGUACUCGUCCAGAUGGCCGCCUUCGCCACCGGUGUUCCUCCGCAUAUCUACGAAUUUCACCUCUACUUGCGGAAUUCCGCCAUCCUCUCCGAGACUCAAGCUCAGCAGUUUCAGACGCACUUCCUCGGUUAAGCCGAGGGCUUUCACAUCUGACUUGCCAAGCCGCCUACACGCGCUUUACGCCCAAUAAUUCCGAACAACGCUUGCACCCUCUGUAUUACCGCGGCUGCUGGCAC